GGCUGCAGAAGGCUGACUGUCAGAGGACUCCAAGGAACAUUCAACGCUGUCGGUGAGUUUGGGAUGUGGAAAAAACCACCGACCGUUGACUGUACCGUGGGGUCCUUA
ensembl:miRNA